rnacentral:rRNA from 1 species
AUUGAACGCUGGCGGCAGGCCUAACACAUGCAAGUCGAGCGGAUGAGAAGAGCUUGCUCUUCGAUUCAGCGGCGGACGGGUGAGUAAUGCCUAGGAAUCUGCCUGGUAGUGGGGGACAACGUUUCGAAAGGAACGCUAAUACCGCAUACGUCCUACGGGAGAAAGCAGGGGACCUUCGGGCCUUGCGCUAUCAGAUGAGCCUAGGUCGGAUUAGCUAGUUGGUGAGGUAAUGGCUCACCAAGGCGACGAUCCGUAACUGGUCUGAGAGGAUGAUCAGUCACACUGGAACUGAGACACGGUCCAGACUCCUGCGGGAGGCAGCAGUGGGGAAUAUUGGACAAUGGGCGAAAGCCUGAUCCAGCCAUGCCGCGUGUGUGAAGAAGGUCUUCGGAUUGUAAAGCACUUUAAGUUGGGAGGAAGGGCAGUAAGUUAAUACCUUGCUGUUUUGACGUUACCGACAGAAUAAGCACCGGCUAACUCUGUGCCAGCCGCCGCGGUAACAC